UACGAAGGGGGCUAGCGUUGCUCGGAAUCACUGGGCGUAAAGCGCACGUAGACGGCUUUUUAAGUCAGAGGUGAAAUCCUGGAGCUCAACUCCAGAACUGCCUUUGAUACUGAGAGGCUUGAGUCCGGGAGAGGUGAGUGGAACUGCGAGUGUAGAGGUGAAAUUCGUAGAUAUUCGCAAGAACACCCGUGGCGAAGGCGGCUCUCUGGGACGGUACUGACGCUGAGACGCGAAAGCCAGGGGGAGCAAACGGG
rnacentral:rRNA from 1 species